rnacentral:rRNA from 1 species
UACGAAGGGGGCUAGCGUUGUUCGGAAUUACUGGGCGUAAAGCGCGCGCAGGCGGUUCUUCAAGUCAGUGGUGAAAGCCCGGAGCUCAACUCCGGAACUGCCAUUGAAACUGGAAAACUAGAAUCUUGGAGAGGUCAGUGGAAUUCCGAGUGUAGAGGUGAAAUUCGUAGAUAUUCGGAAGAACACCAGUGGCGAAGGCGACUGACUGGACAAGUAUUGACGCUGAGGUGCGAAAGCGUGGGGAGCAAACAGG